rnacentral:lncRNA from 1 species
CCGGUGGUGUGAUCCUCCGUGUGAUCCUCCGUGUGAUCCCCCGUUGGGAUGUUGUGGGCACCUGCUCUGUGCCCCACACUUGCCACGCGCUUCUCAUGGACUUUCCCUGGAUGCCAGGGCUCCCGCACUGCAUCCGUCUCUCACCUGACUCCAUCGUCAGACUGCAGAGGGGAGGCGAGGGCGUUCCUGGCUGGAUUUCAUGGCUUCACCUUCGGUACUGAAGAAAAGGCCAAGUUCUGGGAUUAUGCAUGCCACUGCUUGACUACUGUCUCCUUGGUUUCUUUGACAGACAUUUAUCCAGCACCUGCUGUGUACCAGGCUCUGUUCUAGGUGCUGAGUAUACAAGAAUGGAGAAGUUCACCUAAAAUGUUACCAUCUUCUCUACAAUAUCUUACCUCAACAACACACUCUUGUGCCUGGAUUGUUGCAAUUGCUUCCGAAUCAGUUUUUCUGUCUCCACUCUUAAUGUCAUUCAAGACUUUCUGCACCUGACAGCACAACAGUCCCUCCAAAGUGUCACUCAGCAGCUUAACCCCCCCACACUGCCCUCGGGAGCAGCCCCCCAGUGUCUCACAGGGCUGAGAUGAUGCCCUCCUUGACUUGAACCUUCAUGCUUCUCAGAGAAACGCCUUUCAACUUGGUGCUGUCAGACCCACGUAGACUCUGCUGAAGCACAGCCAGUUCCUCUCAAUUCUCGAAUGAGCCACCUUCCCUCUCACCUCCAAGUGGCGGCUCACGCUGUUGACUGCCUGCACGAUGUUCUCCCUGGCUCUGCAGUUAAUUGCCUGUGUAUCACUCCUGCACCAUGGAGAAGGCAAUCAGAAACAUCCUUCCUCCU